UGACUAGCCUUGUCCUCGAAUCNCUUAGCACUUAAGUUUGAUCAUGGCUCAGACGAANGCUGUAUGCAGUGCCUAACACAUGCAAGUCGGACGGUACAGGAAGCAGCUUGCUGCUUUGCUGACGAGUGGCGGACGGGUGAGUAAUGUCUGGGAAACUGCCUGAUGGAGUGGGGAUAACUACUGGAAACGGUAGCUAAUACCGCAUAACGUCGCAAGACCAAAGAGGGGGACCUUCGGGCCUCUUGCCAUCGGAUGUGCCAGAUUGGAUUAGCUAGUAGGUGGGGUAACGGCUCACCUAGUGCGACGAUNCCCUUAGGUCCUUGGUCCUGAGAGUGAUGACCCAGCCCACCACCUGGGAACUUGAGA
rnacentral:rRNA from 1 species